rnacentral:rRNA from 1 species
AGAGAGAGACAUGCGCGCAUAUCAAUAAGCGGAGGAAAAGAAACUAACAAGGAUUCCCCUAGUAACGGCGAGUGAAGCGGGAAGAGCUCAAAUUUGAAAUCUUAAAGGGUUUCCCUUUACGAAUUGUAGUUUAAAGAAGUGUUUUCUGUUGAGGUUUUGGUAAAAGUUCUUUGGAAUAGGACAUCAUAGAGGGUGAGAAUCCCGUAUUUGACCUUUACUUUCAACUUUGUGAUACACUUUCAAAGAGUCGGAUUGUUUGGGAAUGCAGUCCAAAAUGGGUGGUAAAUUUCAUCUAAAGCUAAAUAUUGGCGAGAGACCGAUAGCGAACAAGUACCGUGAGGGAAAGAUGAAAAGAACUUUGAAAAGAGAGUUAAACAGUACGUGAAAUUGUCAAAAGGGAAGCGUUUGACACCAGUGUUGUUUUCUCGAAAAUCAAUUAAAGAACUGUUUAUGCUAAGUUGUUUAGACUUUAUCAGCUAUCUGUUUAGUUUUGAGCUUUUCUUUAAUGCACUUUUCAGUUAACAAGUCAACAUCAAUUUCUUUUGCUGUAAAAAAGCUUGAGGAAGGUGGCUUGAGAUUCGUCUUAAGUGUUUAUAGCCUCUUGCCUAUGCAGUCGGAGAGAUUGAGGUCUGCAGCGUAGAUCCUUCGGGGCUAAAUGCAUUUGUGCUAAGUUAUAGCAUUUUAUAGACAACUUGUUGACUAUGAUUUGUCUUGUAGCUUACUCGCUUAUGUUAUUUUACCUACGCUUAGGAUGUUGAGCGCAUGUCUCUCUCU